UAGUCCUAGGUUUUUUGCCCGGUCGGAACCAAACCACUGCAGUAAUAUUCUGUGGACUCUCUAGAUCAAUAAUUAUUAAAAAAAUGUUGAAUUUUGUCCUUUGGUUAGCUGUAACGGGGUAAUUUAGAAAAAGGGGUGUGGCCAAACAUACCCCAAAGCCUAUAAAACCUAAAGGAAAACUCAAAACUUUAUGAAACUCAGUGAAAUCAUGUAACAGGUGACUCUUAACAAGCAUGCAAAGUUUCAUGGAGAUCAGACCAUAGGUGGCGCUAUAACAGUAGAAAAGGUCUCAAAACACAAGAUUUAUAUGGUAAAUGGCCUCAAAUUGUUUGAAAAUGUUCAUAUAUUCACUCAAAAACACUAAAUCUUCAUAUCAUAUGAUAAAUCUCCUCAUUCUGAACAACUUUGCCUCUGGGACCAAUGUUGUCAAUAAAGCUGUUAAUUAAAUAUUCAAGAUUAUUUUAAAAAGUUACUUUGGCAUACUUGUGAUACGGUUUAAGAUGAAAAUCAAUAAAACCACUGAAGUACAAUUCUCUAGACUCUGAAGGUCAAUAAUUAUCAAAAACAUGUUGAACAAUUGCAUUUAGACAACUAUAAACCAGUAAUUUUAUAUUAUGUUAUU